rnacentral:rRNA from 1 species
AGAGUUUGAUCAUGGCUCAGAUUGAACGCUGGCGGCAGGCUUAACACAUGCAAGUCGAACGGUAACAUGAGUGCUUGCACUUGAUGACGAGUGGCGGACGGGUGAGUAAAGUAUGGGGAUCUGCCAAAUGGAGGGGGACAACAGUUGGAAACGACUGCUAAUACCGCAUAAAGUUGAGAGACCAAAGUACGGUUCCGAAAGGACGUGCGCCAUUUGAUGAACCCAUAUGGGAUUAGCUAGUUGGUGGGGUAAAGGCUCACCAAGGCGACGAUCAGUAGCUGGUCUGAGAGGACGACCAGCCACACUGGAACUGAGACACGGUCCAGACUCCUACGGGAGGCAGCAGUGGGGAAUUUUGGACAAUGGGCGCAAGCCUGAUCCAGCAAUGCCGCGUGAGUGAAGAAGGCCUUCGGGUUGUAAAGCUCUUUUGUCAGGGAAGAAACGGCUCCGGCUAAUAUCCGGGGCUAAUGACGGUACCUGAAGAAUAAGCACCGGCUAACUACGUGCCAGCAGCCGCGGUAAUACGUAGGGUGCAAGCGUUAUCCGGAUUUAUUGGGCGUAAAGAGCUCGUAGGCGGUUCGUCGCGUCUGGUGUGAAAGUCCAUCGCUUAACGGUGGAUCGGCGCCGGGUACGGGCGGACUGGAGUGCGGUAGGGGAGACUGGAAUUCCCGGUGUAACGGUGGAAUGUGUAGAUAUCGGGAAGAACACCGAUGGCGAAGGCAGGUCUCUGGGCCGUCACUGACGCUGAGGAGCGAAAGCGUGGGGAGCGAACAGGAUUAGAUACCCUGGUAGUCCACGCCGUAAACGAUGGAUACUCGUUGUUGGGGAUUACCCCUCAGUGACUAAGCGAAAGUAAUAAGUAUCCCACCUGGGGAGUACGACCGCAAGGUUGAAACUCAAAGGAAUUGACGGGGGCCCGCACAAGCGGUGGAGCAUGUGGUUUAAUUCGAAGCAACGCGCAGAACCUUACCAUCCCUUGACAUGGCAUGUUACCCCGAGAGAUCGGGGAUCCUCUUCGGAGGCGUG